UGAGGGAUUGCUUUUAACAGAAUCAAAUGGACAGGGGAUAUAGAUACUAAAGUUUAUGUCCUUGCAAAAUUGAUACUCUUUUUUAAAAAAAAUUUUGAGACAGAGUCUCACUCUGUCAUCCAGGCUAGAGUGUGGUGGUGUGAACAGCUGAAUAGCAGUCCUGAAUAGCUGGGACCACAGUUGUGCACGACCAUGCCCAGUUAAUUUUCAAACAUUUUUUGUAGAGACAGGGUCUUAUCAUGCUGCCUAGCCUAGUUUCAAACUCCUGGGCUCAAACGAUCCUCCUGCUUUGACCUGCCAAAGUGCUGGGAUUACAGACAUGGGCCACUACACCCGGCUGGUUGAUAUUCUUUAGGCUUUGACAUCCUUGAAUGCUAUUGGGAUAAAAUUGUCCCUGUCUGUGUUGGUUGUGUUCUACUUGCUUUCUCCCAGAUCCAUUUUCUGCCCUUCUUUGUGUCCAGAGAGGAUGGGAUGAGUCAGGCCCAAAAGACUAUUACUUCAGCUUGUGCAACUGGGAAAAUGAUCUUAGAGGAAUUUACAUUUAAAUUUAAGGGACCAAAGCUGACUGUCUACAGAUUUAGUGGGUGUCUAUGGCCAAUUCCACAUUGGAGCCUGUAGCUAUGAACAAUGAAGAUCCUGAAAGUUCUGUUCCAGUCUUUAAACCUCAUCAUUCAAGUGGUGGAUUUACUUUUUU
rnacentral:lncRNA from 1 species